GCGUUUCAUAUUAUUAUAUAAUAUACACACAUCACGUGUGUUAUAUUAUUACUUUGAAAGCAACGAACGUGACCGUAGCCUUUUAUUAUAUACGCUACACGUAUAUUAAUUAAAGGGACCGCUGUAUCUUUCUUUAAACCAGAGUAAGGUUACGGCAAUAACAGGUCUGUGAUGCCCUUCGAUGUUCCGGGCUGCACACGUGCUACAAUGAUUAUUUCAUUAAGUAUCUACUGUGCAAUAAUAUAUUAUUAUUAUUCAAAAACCUACUCUGAGAAUGAGCGGGUAAUCAAUUAGAAGUAAUGAUUUCCAAAUUUAUACACUCAUGUACCGUAUAUAUUAUCCCAUAUUUUAAUUAAUAUGCGUGUAUAAUAUUGUACGCUGUACGUAUAUUUAUUAAUUCAUGGUGGGGAUAGACUAUUGUUAAUUGUUGGUCUCGGUCUUAACUAGGAAUGCCUUGUACGGGUCAUUGGUUCAACAGACCACCCGGAAUACGUCCCUGCCCUUUGUACACACCGCCCGUCGCUCUUACCGAUGAACUUCGCUAUGAAUCUAUUGGACUGUACCAUUGUGGUAUGGAAAGAUAUAUGAAUAGUGUGGUUUAAAGGAAAGAGAAGUCGUAACAAGGCAUCCGUAGGUGAACCU
rnacentral:rRNA from 1 species